rfam:Microdochium bolleyi strain J235TASD1 unplaced genomic scaffold Micbo1qcscaffold_4, whole genome shotgun sequence.
GGCAUUGUGGCAGAGUGGUCUAAUGCGAUAGACUAGAAAUCUAUUUCCUUCGGGAGCGUCUGUUCGAAUCAGGCCAAUGUCG